rnacentral:rRNA from 1 species
UACGGAGGGUGCAAGCGUUAUCCGGAUUCACUGGGUUUAAAGGGUGUGUAGGCGGAUAUUUAAGUCAGUGGUGAAAUCUCCGGGCUCAACCCGGAAACUGCCAUUGAUACUAUUUAUCUUGAAUUCUGUUGAGGUGGGCGGAAUACAUCAUGUAGCGGUGAAAUGCUUAGAUAUGAUGUAGAACACCGAUUGCGAAGGCAGCUCACUAAGCAGACAUUGACGCUGAGGCACGAAAGCGUGGGGAUCAAACAGGAUUAGAUACCCAGUAGUCC